UACAUCUGAUUGUCCAUUUGGCAUGUGUGUGUCUAAAUUGUUGCUGUUACCUUGCCAGGUUGGGCUCGGGUGUUGUGCCCUUUUUCACUGCUGCUGCUACAGGGUAGCUCUAGUCUCCAUGUCUCUCCAGUCACGGUGACCGGAUGAUCCAGUGAGUGACUGUCAUCUGGAUGGGCUGCUGUUUGUGGUUGAGUUUCGGACCAAUUAUGUGUGGAUGAUGUGUGAAUGAGUGAUUACACCUGAUAUUGAGUGUGGUUCAUGAACGUUUGAGUGCCCCGGUAACGCCAGUGUUCUGGUUAGCGGUGUGAGUGUAUGAUAAUUGCUUUCUGUUUUAUUUCUAUUGUUUCUUUUCUUUUAAGUGUCUUUGCUGUGCACACGGUAGCCUGAUCCGCCAUUAAGUAACCCCAGGACCUCCUAGCUUUCGUUGCUCAAUGUGUGCUGUGCUUCAUAGUAGCCUAGGCCUUUUCAAGUUGAAUACAAGUGUGAUACUCUCCCUGCAUGCUUAUUUUUUCACUAGAAGUGUUUGCUGUGUGCAACUGUCUUGCCGUGCUUAGCUAGAACAGAAGCUAGAGGGUUGGGAUAGGCAUUUACUGGCUCAGGUGUAUUUGUGUUGGCCUCAUGUGAUUUUGUAUAUAUAUUAAAGAUUUAGUAAGAACCAUUUUGUAUUAUUAAAAGAAAAGCACAUGUCUCCCCU